CAGUCGCCGCGGUAAUACGAAGGGGGCCAGCGUUGUUCGGAUUUACUGGGCGUAAAGCGCACGUAGGCGGAUCGAUCAGUCAGGGGUGAAAUCCCAGAGCUCAACUCUGGAACUGCCUUUGAUACUGUCGAUCUGGAGUAUGGAAGAGGUGAGUGGAAUUCCGAGUGUAGAGGUGAAAUUCGUAGAUAUUCGGAGGAACACCAGUGGCGAAGGCGGCUCACUGGUCCAUUACUGACGCUGAGGUGCGAAAGCGUGGGGAGCAAACAGGAUUAGAUACCCGAGUAGUCCCUGUCUCUUAUAC
rnacentral:rRNA from 1 species